rnacentral:rRNA from 1 species
CUACGGGGGGCAGCAGUCGAGAAUCAUCCGCAAUGGGCGAAAGCCUGACGGUGCAAUGCCGCGUGGGGGAUGAAGGCCCUCGGGUCGUAAACCCCUGUCAGGAGGGACGAAGAAGUGACGGUACCUCCAGAGGAAGCCACGGCUAACUACGUGCCAGCAGCCGCGGGAAUACGUAGGUGGCGAGCGUUAUUCGGAUUUACUGGGCGUAAAGGGUCCGCAGGGGGUUUGCCAAGUCUGGUGUGAAAUCUCACAGCUCAACUGUGAGACUGCGCUGGAUACUGGUGAACUAGAGUGCGCGAGGGGUGAGUGGAAUUCCUGGUGUAGCGGUGGAAUGCGUAGAUAUCAGGAAGAACACCAACGGCGAAGGCAGCUCACUGGCGCGCAACUGACCCUCAUGGACGAAAGCGUGGGUAGCAAACAGGAUUAGAUACCCUCGUAGUC